GGAGGGGUGGCCGAGUGGUUUAAGGCAGCGGUCUUGAAAACCGCCGAGCGUAACAGCUCCGUGAGUUCGAAUCUCACCUCCUCCGCCA
rnacentral:tRNA from 1 species